rnacentral:lncRNA from 1 species
CUGUGCGCAAUUGCUGAUGUCCAUCAUGUCCUCUCCUAGGGGCCGCUUCAGCUAGCAGCCUCCUCCAAGGCCUCAGCUUCAGCCUGCAGGAUAUCAGCGGCAAGAGUUCCGGCCUCCCCACAACCCCCUCCUCAGGGCUGGCUGCACAGGCCUGAAGGUCCCAACCACCAUAACUCUGACUCUUCGUGGCCAGCCGAGCAGGAUCACCACCUUGAGUCCCAUGGGUUCAGGGGCUGCGGGGCCCGAAGAGCCCAUGUCCCAGACGCUGGCCUCCAGCUCACAGCGCCUGCCUCCUGCACCCUGAAGAUGCCAUGAGGUGUGUCCUCCUUACCAGGUGGUGAUGGCUGCUUCACAGUGGCUGUGGGCACGUGUGCAUCCUGCUGAGCUGUUGGAGUGUCUGAAGACUUCUUUAUAGCAGUCGUUUUGCCUCUCUGCCAGCUGUCUUCAGGGUCAGGCCUCUGGGUCUCAAGCUACCAUGUGGCAGUGACAUGGCACCGGCAAGGGGGCAAGGAAAGCAGUACCCUCCAGCAUCUGCACUCUGGUUCCUGGAACACCCACCCUCCUCUUGGAUCCAGCAUCAUGUACCAGAAGGCACUUCUUCCUCGCGAUGAUGUGGUUGACCUGAGUGCUUUUGGACUGCUCAUGAUAUCUAAUAAAGGACCCUCCUUUCUGCAGUCUGUCCUCCCUGUUCCCACCUGGAGGAGAGGGUCACAUGGUCUGGGGCUGCAGAGGAUCGGGAUCAUCCUGGCCCACUGGCAGGUCAGAGAGCUGUUGUGGACAUCUCUGUUGCUUCAAGUAGCCAAGGACACUUUUUAAGAAACUGUACCAUGUACAGAGUAGCCUGCUAGGAGUGCCCAUAUGGAGGCAAAGAAAACUGACACAUCCUCUCUGCCCCUUGGCCACUCUAGGAUGUGGGAAGCAGUGGUCCCCACGAGGUGAGAGCUGGCCCCUUCCUCUUUUCAUCAUGCUUUGGGCAGUUCCUGUACCUGGAGAGUCUGCAGGUCCAGAGGGGCUGAAGAGGGAGGCAUGAAGUGCCCUGUGGCACAGACAGUUUGAGCUUGGGGCUGUGCAUCUGGCCCCUGAGGACCUGGUGAUUAGCUAGAGAUGAAAAACAGAAUUUGCCAAGUCAGGGAAACCCCAACCUCUGACAGCCCUGUCUCCAGAGCAGGGUUAGGCGGGGCCAGCAGCUAAGGUAAUAUCUUGGCCCAGAAGCUUGGGCCAUCAAGACAACCUUGGUCCUGGAGAACCUGAGCCUCAGGACGAUGAAGACCGAGCUCCAGUGUUUCUGUUCACACUUCUCACUUCCUGCCUGGAGGUGGGGAGAUUUAUGGUGGCUGUUCUACUCUUGGUGCCAGCCUGAGCCUUUUGGGCCGUGGUCCUAGUGAAAGGCUCCCUGGGGAUGGAGUGCUGAGGCCCUCCUGACCUCCUCACAGGGCGUGUGUGCAAUGUGUUAUGGGAUUUGGAUCCACACCUGUGCUCCAGAUCGGGCUCCCUUCCCUUCCAUACUUAGAAUGUUUCCAGUCAGGGAAUGAGGCACCUUGACUGUGACUGUUCAGUCCAGGGUCCCGACCCCCAGUGUGGUGUUCAUCCAGACCAGGCCAGCUGUCAGUCCCACCAGAAGGAGCACACUGUGCUUGGUAGUCACAGACAAGGCAGUUUGGGGGGUGUAUGUGGUGGGAGUGUAGAGGGUUCCCUAAACCCCCGGCCCUCUCCCUCAUCUCCUGCUCUGAUUCACACAGAAUUAGGCUGUAUUUUUGCAUUAGCUGGUAGGUUAUUUCAGAAGGCAUCUAGGAAGAUAUGAAAUUUAAGGAAGAUAUGAAAUCUGAAAGGCAUCCAGGGCUGGGCAUUGACAGCUUUAUAGGUAGAAUCAAAACACAGCAAAAGAGCAGUAAGAUGAGGCUCUGUGAAGCCCAGAGGACAGACGGAGGGCCCUGAACACGCUCACAACUGAGCAGCACAGCCUGGACCACCCCAGUGCUGCUCUUGAAGGACACUGGCCUGGGUGUACUGGGACCAGAGAGCCUCACCAGUCAACCUGCCUUUGUGCUGUCUUCCAUGUGCUCUUUGGGUGACUGCUGACUUUAAAACUGGAGAGUGGGCUCAACACUGAUCUUCGCUGAAGCAGAGCCAGCCUGUGGCGGAAGAGGUUGAAGUCUAUAGUGUCACCUUCCCCAGGCCCCCUCCCAAGCCAUACUUCCCACAGUGUCUGCCUGUCUCACAGCAGGCUUGGAGGCCACGACCUCAGAAGGUCUUGGCGAAAAACGUAGAAGGAUCAAGAAGGCUUUAAAUUCUUGGACAACAGAGGCAUGUUGCUGCCCUGUAGAUACCUUUGGGCUUCAGAGGAGGUCACUGCAAGGCCAAAGACCUGCCCUCAAGUGGUUCACCACCAGAACAGUCUUGGCUGGAGCUGACCUGCUGUGUUCUUACUUAGCAGAAACAAUUAAAAACACCAAAACCAACCCUUUUUUUGUUUUCAUUUGACUUCACAUGUUUGUUGUUCUGGGUACCACCCAAUGAGUGGGCCCAGAAAACAGUUAACAGUGUGAUGCCAGUGGUGGUCUCACCAAGGUCAGGUGCUGUGAGGUGGGUACUGUGCUUUCCUUUUUACCUGAGAGGAAACAGGCACAGAGAAGUCACAGGCAGAGGCAGAGCAGUACUGGAACCCAGGUGGUCUGAUGGCUGCACUGCUCUGCUCCGUGCUGGGGUCCUGAGAUGGCGACCAGCAAUGUGAGCCCAGGAUAGGUGUCAGCUUGGCCUCAGUGUAACCCUUCUCACAUUACCUCCCCCAGGCCACAAGCAAUGGCUGCUGCUCCCAUGGGGCUCUUGACCAGGACUGAGUCUGGGAGUCCUAAGUCCUUGGUCCUAGAAGACUUCGUGUCCCUUUGCACGUUCUGUACCUGCACCCCUGCUCCCCAGUAAGUAAGACUUAGAAAUGGGUGGGUAGAUCCCAGCCUCCAGGCUAGUUGUAAUCAUGUACAGACAUCCUCGUUUAAUGACUUGAGUUCCUUUCCUGAGACUAGGUCGUUAAUUGAAUUGGUCACUAAAUGAAGAAUUGUAUACAGUAUAUGCGUUACAAUAUUCAGAACAAAAAUGGUCAGGGAAACUCCAGGUUGAUGAUUUUGCUUUUAUUUGCAUGACUUCUAUGCAGUACUGUGAUGUAGAAUAGAACAACCGAAAUAUCUAGUACUGUAAUAUAUAGUACCAUCAACAGAAAUCAAAGCACUGUUCUGUAGAAGAAGCCACCACAAGGCCACACUGCUGCUCACAUUCCUGCACUGUUAAUCUGAAUGUGGGUCAUAAGUCCAAACCAUCAUUAACUAGGUUGGUCAUUGAAUGAGGAAUGCCUGACUCCCCAAGCUUGGCAUUGGCAUCCUUUGGUGGAGGCUGGGGCUGUGGGAGGGAACCCUCCUUUAGUACUUCGCCUGCUCCUUCUCUGCACCCAUCUUACCAGCUUUUGUGAGCAAGACAGCGAGGGCUUAGGUUGUAUAAAUGACAGCUGUCUUUUACUUCAGGAGGGCAGGAGCUGGGGCACAGAAACUUAAGAUGCAACAAGCCUUUGUUGAUCAUUCGCAGUCAGCAUAGCUGGAACAGGACAUGAUCUCAGGCGUUCUGUAGAUUGGUGCCUCUGCCACGUGCCUUGUGUCUACUGACUCCGACCUGCAGGGUCCAGUUUUGAUCCUGUUAGGACACACCAGCCAGAGUACUUUGGGGAUGGCUGGUCUCUGUUCAGAUUCAGAAGACAGCCUGAUUGACUGAACUCACUACAGGCCAGUUCUUGGCCUUCCCACCUGUUCAGUGGUAGUGUCCAGAGGAGGAGGUCACCUGGUUCCUGUUACCUUCCUAAGUGGUAAAGAGGCUAUACACUUGUGUGGACGCACACACACACAUAUCAUGAAUGACUAC